UUCACACGUUUGCGUGUUGGCCUAUGUGGAAUACGUGUGUCUAAUCUAAAUUUUUCUAAAGACAAAAUAUAAUGCUGUUGGUACAAUUCCAAAAAUAUUAAUGCACCUCUCUUGCCCAACUAGCAAGAAAAAUAAAAUUAUUGCUUCUAGACUGUCCUCUUUUUCAGUUGGCCAAUUGUUUGCUUUUUCAGCAUUGUUAUUUAUUUUUCUACGUGACAGCUUUGUUUGUUCAAGUGAGACUUUAAAUU
rnacentral:lncRNA from 1 species